rnacentral:RNase_P_RNA from 1 species
UCAGUCGGCCGGACGGCCGCUCCGGCAAGUGCCGAAAGGCCGCCGGGGAGGAAAGUCCGGGCUCCAUCGACAUACGGUGCCGGAUAACGUCCGGCGGGGGCGACCCCAGGGAAAGUGCCACAGAGAACGAACCGCCUCGCCUUUCGGGGCGCGGUAAGGGUGAAAAGGUGCGGUAAGAGCGCACCGCGUCGCCGGCAACGGGGACGGCAUGGUAAACCCCACCGGGAGCAAAACCGAAUAGGGACGGCAUCGCGGAUAGUUCGCUCCUCGGGGCGAUAACUCCGCAGGGUGAUGUCAAACCCGCCGUCCGGGUAGGUUGCUCGAGGCGCUGUGCAAACAGCGUCCCAGAGGAAUGGCCGUCGCGCACCGCCUCCGCAAGGAAGCGGUGCCCUCCAGAACCCGGCUUACAGGCCGGCUGAUACU